rnacentral:lncRNA from 1 species
AUGGCUCCUUCUGAGGAAGAAACAUUUGAAGGGUUCUCUAGCGAUGAGGAGUCCAUUGUGGAGGAAGAUGGGUUAACAGAGAGUAGAGGAACUAAAAGGUCAACUUGGGAGCAAGAGUCAGAUGAGGAAAGGGAAAGGAAGAAGAUCUGGGAUCUACUCACUGCUCCCACGGAAGAUGGAACAUUUGAGGGUUUUUCUGGGGAUGAUGGGUCUGGGAGUGAGAUGGAAAGUGCUGCAGAUUGGACUCAAGUAAAUGUGUGCGCAGAGCUACUGAUACACCAGGGACAUGGGGAGAUCUAAGUCUUGAACAAAGAUGGAGGGACUGGAGGGAUGAUGGGCGAGGUUCACGUAUGAGGUCAAGAUCAGCUGUGGAUAAUGAUGACAGGGCGGAGGCCUCAUCAUUGUCGGAUAACGAUGCGUAAGUUAAAAGUGGAGUUGGAAGGAAAGACUCUUUUGCAGAAGGCAAGGUGUUGUUUUGGACAUUGGGCUGUCCCUGCCUGUUCUCCUGUUGGGCUUGGGUCCUGGCUGUACAGCUUUGUGUUCCUGAAUUCGGUUUGGCUCUUGACGAUGGCAUCGCUCGUUCCUGGCUUGGCGUUCGCUGGCUUCCCCUUUGGCUCCUGAAUUCGGCUUGGCUUCUGACGACGGCAUCGCUACUCCUGGUUGGCUCUCCUUUUUGGUUCCUGAAUUCGGCUUGACUCCUGACGGCGACAUCGCUACUCCCAGUUGGCUCUCCUUUGGUUUCUGGAUUCGGCCUGGCUUUUGGACUACGUUGCCUGCUCUCGCUACGGGUGUGCGUUUGGCCCUCUCCUGGCUUUCUGUGCUGUAGUUGGGCGUGACAAUAGUUUCAGUGAACUUUUGGCUGGAGUUAAGCCGGAUUAUCAGACAGGAUAAUCCAGAUUAUUUUCUGUUUCCGCAUUUUUUGAAGCAAAGACAAUUACUUUUACUAGGAACACUGAAGUUAAGUGUUCCUAGGUUCAGAAUAUCAUUUAUUAAACGUUUGUUAUCUUUACUCUCUGUGUGUGGCCUUUUAAGAGGUGUCUGUGUCAUGACACCAAUUUUUCAGAAAGAGAUAAUGAGGCCCUCACCUUUUGUCACUUUUUUUGUGUCAGGAGCGACUUGAGAAACUGCUUCUGGUGAGAGAAUUGGCCAUCUGCAAGGAUGUUGCCCAGGGGACGCCUGGAUGUUUUUACCAUCCUUGUGGAAGGCUUCUCUUGUGUCCCCGCAUGGAGCUGGAGCUGAUAGAGGGAGCUCAUCCGUGCUCUCCCCGGGUUAGAUUCAAACCGGCAACCUUCAGGUCAGCAACCCUUCAAGUCAUCACUCCUGCUGGCACAAGGGUUUAACCCGCUGUGCCACCAGGGGCUCCACCUUGUCACUGACAUGCAGCCAACAGAAAUCCUUCGAGCAAAUGUGGUCCUUAAGAAGUAUCCCACUUCUACCCCAAGAUAAAUCUAACUCCCAUCUAUUCUUGAAAUAAUUUGCUUUGACAAUAAAUGCUAAAUGGUUUCAAUUGCAAAAUGGGUUGAAGAUUUGAAAUUAUUGCCAAUUGUUUAUAUUGCUACUCCCUUUUUGAAAAGGACAUGGUCUUUAAAAUGGUGGGCAGGAACCAAAAGUCUUCUGAUGAAAUCCAGUAAAACAAAGAGCAAACCCCUCAAACCAGCAUGUUAUCCCAAGUUACGUUGAAAUCCAUUUGAGGUGAUAGUGAAGUGAUUCAAAACUAAGAAGUGACACAUUUUGUGUGAGCUGAGACUUUUCUCCUACGGAAGGCAUUUCCUGGACCAGGCAAGCCCUACAAGCUGAAGUCUGGCACAAUGCUCUUCAUUUUUUUUAUCGUGUCAGAAGCAACUUGAGAACAUACUGCAAGUUGCUUCUGGUAUGAGAGAAUUGGCCGUCUACAGAAACGUUGCUAGGAGACACUCAGAUGUGUUAUCAUCCUGCUGGGAGACUUCUCUGAUGUCUCAGCAAGAUAGAGCUGGCAGAUGGGAGCCUACCCCAUCUCACGGACUCAAACCAGAAACCUUCAGGUCAGCAACCCAACCUUCAGGUCAGUGGUCCAGCCAGAUUUUCAUGAGAUGAUCUGAUGCAUGUAUGUAAUCCACAAAGCAAAAUGUUCAAUUUUAUUAUUUUACAACUUUAUUGUUUAAAAGUCUGUAUUCACAUUCACAAGUUUUCCAGGCAGUUAUUGCCAUUUCCCAUAUUUAGGAAAAUAUGAUGCAACAAACAGCAAAACAUAAGAGACACAAAAACUGGAUAUACUGCUGAAUUAAGUUAUCCAGAACUGCAACAUGGAAAAAAAAUCAACACAUAAAGCCACACAGCAUUUGAGGAGACCACACAGCACACAAGAAUGUUAACACUUCAUUAAGGAAGGAGCAUUGUUGGCAAAAGGCUCUUCCAGCCACAAUCUUUUUCACCAGAACUUUUCCAGAAAUUCAAAUUAUUGCACAAGAAUCCACUGGAUAAAUAAAUAUGUGCGUUUCCCAAGAUAUUUCUUAACACAACCAAUCACUAUGGGAUUGCCUCUGCAUUUGUGUUCUGAGCCACGAGUCUGCAAAAAUGGUAUGAAGACACAAUAUGGUAAUUUCUGCAGACUCCUGGCUCAAAGGUGUUAUUGGUUCUAGGUGUGCCAAAUUCAACACACAGAAUAUUCCCAUGUUUUGCAAAAUCCACCUUGGUCUUUCCAAUCCUAGCUGCUAUGAAUGAAAUAAGCAUAGCAAAUUGUGUGAACAACGUUGCCCUUGAGAUGCUUUUGGCCUGCUACUUAUAUAAUGCCUCACUACUAGCUAAGUUGGCUAAAGCUAAUGGCAGUUGAAUCUCCCCUCCAAAAAAAAGGAGAUCAUCACAGUGGUCUAUCCUUUGUGUAUGUUAUCAAUCCAUCUUUCAAGUACCUGGGAGCGUUCAAACAUCACACUCCUUACCAACAGAGUUUUACUUGCAUUACUUACCAAAUAGAACAAGAUGGGGACAAACCCAGAGUCUGUCAUUACAUCUAGCUAUUAAGGCAUCUAGAGAUGCCAGCAUUUCUAAAUGCACUGUUUGCAGGACAAAUUUAUAGUUAUCUCCCUAUGGACUGAAGGUAAGUAGAAAACAAACUUAUUUGAAACCAUUUAGGACUGUUAUCCAAAUUAAUGAAAUUUAAGCCAGGCAUGACUUGUUCUACUUGCAGUAUUAAAACUAAAUCCAAUCCAACUACUUAAUUUUUAUAUGACCAAAAUAUUUUAGACAGAUCCUUAAAACAGAGGACCUUCACAUAGUUUUUUGGACAUAUUUUGUGUAGAUCUGCUUUACAGUCUGUUACCCUAACACAGAAAGUAACUCAGUCCCAGGGAAGGGUGGACAGCAAUAAGUGAUAUAGGACUUGUGGAUGUGAAGAAAAGGAUUUUUUUAUUCCCAGUUUCAAAUCCACUUGUCUCUUACAGCACAUGACAUUAAAAAAAGAACCCACACAAACAAGAAGGCAAAGGUUCAAGUUUUGUGCCACUACGAAAGAUGUCAGGCUUUGCUUCUCUUGUACAUUGUGCUUCUCAUUAUAGCUUUGCUCUCCUGAUACAGCUGUUUAUUGCUUGCACUUUAAAACAAGGCUAUGAUUUUGGGAGAGAGAGGGAAGCAUGAGCUUAGAAGCAACUGGAUAAUCUGAGUGACUUUUUAAAAAUGUGGUUCUAUACUCCAGCAUGGUCUGGAAAUACAGUAGUGGAUGCACAGACAUUCCAGAAAUCAUUUUAAAUAACCUUGAAAAUGUACACAUUUUCUUUUAUUAAUGACAUUCACUCUUUUGAAAAGCUUGACCUACGUGAGCUAAAUAUGUAUUCAUAACCAUAAUGAAUAGUAGCUGAAGUGGAGGAAGAAUAGCUUAAAGAGUUCAAACUAAAAUCCUAGGAUAAGAUGAGCUGAAAAGCAGGAGUUAGCUGGACAGCUUGAAAUGGCAUAGCUAACCCAAGCUGAAAUGUAUUGAACCAUGACUCCAUGCCAAUGUAAAACCACAUAUUCUCUUCCUGCUGUGGGCAGUCACCUCAAAGUUUCUAGUUCUGGAUGAAAUAUGAUGCAGAUGAAAUGUUUUCA